rnacentral:tRNA from 1 species
GCCUGGUUGGCUCAGCCAGUGGAGCAUGUGACUCCUGAUCUCAGGUUGUGAAUUCAAGCCCCAUAUUGGGUG